CAAGAAUGCGCGCUUUUAGCGUCUGACUUUACCGUCCGGCCCAAUCAGACGCAAAUUAGCGUCCGUUUUUAUAAAAGUAGUGUCCGUUUUUGGACGGACGCUAAUUAGCAUCCGCUUUUAUAGAAUUAGCGUCCGACUUUUGAACGGACGGUAAUUACCGUCCGUUGUACAAGUUUACCGUCUACCUUAACGGACGGUAUUCAAUGGUCAUCAACAAAAAUCACGACCCACUUAUUUCCAACCCUAUCUCUAAGUUCUUAUCUAUUUUUUUCUCUCUCACCAUUCUGCUUAUGUUUUCGUCGGCGGCACCUUACGAUCUCACUGAAGGCGAUCUUCUUGUUGUCUUUGCCCAAUAUGGCGAAAGUCCAAAGGUUUUGCAUUUGUGGCGUGUGAGGAUCAAAGAAGCACAACUCUAGCCCGCACUUUCUCUUAUUUGAAGGAGGUUCGAUCGAUUUCUGAGCCAAUGUCGCAGGUUUUCGUUUUAGGCUGAUGAAUAAAUGAUAAGCAGGAUUAACAGCAGCUUAAAUGUCGUUAAGCCCGGUGUCUUUACCAACAGCAAAAGGAAGUCGUACAGAAGUUGCACCUCGAAUUUUUAAACCACCAAAAAGUAUUCAACUUAAGCGCCUGUCACCAAGCUUGUGCUUUCCUAUGGAUCAGAAAAGCGUGCAUGAGGGUGCCUUUGGUGUGGGUCAGAAGGAUGGUGUGAUUAUCGUGGAUCACGGAUCUCGCCGGAAAGAGUCUAAUAUCUUACCGAGUAAUGCUUCUAUGUUUUUUUUUUCUUUGUACAUGUAUCCUUUGAAAGGGGGGGGGGUAUUGUUGCAACUAUUUUUAUACUCUAGUUAUUAUAUAAGUGUGCUUACUCAUAUACUGCAGAUGAAUUUGUGCUAAUGUUUAAAAGCAGAACUGGAUACCCCAUUGUUGAGCCUGCUCAUAUGGUAAUUACCUUGUUAAUUAUUACAUUGUAAUGCUAUUUAUUUUGCAAAUGGAGAUGAAAUUGCUGAGUGGACUUGGCAGCUAACAUCUCAUUAGCUUUCUAGUGUGUUGAGGAAUAUGGCGGACUGAUACUUGGUCAUCACUUAGAACUUUCAAUGAAAUUCGCUAUUCAUUUAUAUCUACACCCAAACUUUAGAAUUAAGUUUGCUUGUUAAUUGUACAUGCAUUUCUAUAUUCUAAUUCUGGUACUUUGCUGUUUUACACUGAGCUUGUCAUCUUGAUUCCUAACCAUGUUUUGUCUUUUCUCAUUGUUCAGGAAUUGGCAGAUCCAUCUAUAAAAGAUGCUUUUGAUUUGUGUGUCCAGCAAGGGGCAAAUCGUGUUAUCAUAAGCCCAUUUGUUCCAGAUUUUUGUUGCGGAGUUUAAACUAGUGUACAUGUAAUUAUAUGAGAUUUGUAUUAGAUUUUGUUCUAAGUAUACUAGAAUUUAGUUCUCAAAUUAUUUUUUCACUUGUAUCUACAUUUAUUAUCAAUAAUAAUUAAAUUGAUUAAUUUGUUUGCCUUAAUAAAAGAAGUAUUGUAUUUGCAUUA